rnacentral:rRNA from 1 species
GACGAACGCUGGCGGCGUGCUUAACACAUGCAAGUCGAACGGAAAGGCCCUGCUUGCAGGGUACUCGAGUGGCGAACGGGUGAGUAACACGUGGGUGAUCUGCCCUGCACUUCGGGAUAAGCCUGGGAAACUGGGUCUAAUACCGGAUAUGACCUUCCAUGUAGUGUGGGGGGUGGAAAGAUUUAUCGGUGUGGGAUGAGCCCGCGGCCUAUCAGCUUGAUGGUGGGGUAAUGGCCUACCAAGGCGUCGACGGGUAGCCGGCCUGAGAGGGUGGACGGCCACAUUGGGACUGAGAUACGGCCCAGACUCCUACGGGAGGCAGCAGUGGGGAAUAUUGCACAAUGGGCGGAAGCCUUAUGCAGCGACGCCGCGUGGGGGAUGACGGCCUUCGGGUUGUAAACCUCUUUCGACAGGGACGAAGCUUCGGUGACGGUACCUGUAUAAGAAGCACCGGCUAACUACGUG